AACGAGCGCUGGCGGCAUGCCUAACACAUGCAAGUCGAACGAGAUCUUCGGGUCUAGUGGCGCACGGGUGCGUAACGCGUGGGAAUCUGCCCUUUGGUUCGGAAUAACAGUUGGAAACGACUGCUAAUACCGGAUGAUGACGAAAGUCCAAAGAUUUAUCGCCAGAGGAUGAGCCCGCGUAGGAUUAGCUAGUUGGUGUGGUAAAGGCGUACCAAGGCGACGAUCCUUAGCUGGUCUGAGAGGAUGAUCAGCCACACUGGGGGUGAGACACGGCCCGGACUCCUACGGGAGGGAGCAGUGGGGAAUAUUGGACAAUGGGCGAAAGCCUGAUCCAGCAAUGCCGCGUGAGUGAUGAAGGCCUUAGGGUUGUAAAGCUCUUUUACCCGGGAUGAUAAUGACAGUACCGGGAGAAUAAGCUCCGGCUAACUCCGUGCCAGCCGCCGCCGUAA
rnacentral:rRNA from 1 species